CAAUAGCGUAUAUUAAAGUUGUUGCAGUUAAAAAGCUCGUAGUUGGAUUUCUGGUCGGAAGCUCCUGUCCUCUGAUGAGCGUACAAGUGCGUCCUACCAUCCUUCUGUUAACCUUUAAGGCUUUCGCGGCUUUCUAGGGGCUCAGAUAUUUUACCUUGAGAAAAUUAGAGUGUUUCAGGCAGGCUAGCGCCGGAAUACAUUAGCAUGGAAUAAUGGGAUAGGACUUUUGCCUCUUCUGUUGGUCAUGAGGCUCGAGUAAUGAUUAAUAGGGAUAGUUGGGGGCAUUAGUACUUAACUGUCAGAGGUGAAAUUCUCGGAUUUGUUAAAGACUAACUUAUGCGAAAGCAUUUGCCAAGGAUGUUUUCAUUAG
rnacentral:rRNA from 1 species